CUACAGGUUACAUGCCUACGGUACCCCAAACCCAAAUCAGUUUCCACUUUUCCCCAACCCUAAUCUCCUAACGGCGAACCCUCCCGUCACCACCUCACCUCACUCCAUCAGUGUCACUCACCCAGCCACCGCCGCCAGCCGCUCGCCGUCAUCUCCUUCGUCUCACUGCCGGACACCGAUUCUGAACUCUGAAGUCUGAAGGAACAGAACAGAGUAAAAACCCGCGGCUCCGCUUCGUCCCUGUCUCUCAUCGCCGUCGCCGUUGGCUCGCCGUUGCCGCACCGUCGCCCUCGCCGUUGCGUCGCUCUUCUGCUCUGUCAAAUAGGUUGAGGCUUAACUGAUCACGAACCACAUCUUGCAAGACACGUUUGAUGAAAAUGCUCCCUACACUGUUCACUUUGUUAUGGUUUGGAGUUAUGGACUCUGAAAACAUUGUUUAAGUGGCCAAAGCAAAUUACAAAUUCCACAGAAAAUAUUUUUUAGUUGGUUUCAUGGUUUAGUUGCUAGCUACAAAGGAUGAUCUUUAGUUGGUAAAUCUAAUGGCUUCUUAAGAAUAUGUGCUUUUUUGAUCUAGAGAACUCAAAGACCAAAGAACUGGCAGAUUAAAGUCCACAUGAUGCUUCCAAUGAGCCUUAGGGAUGCACACUGAUGCUUAAUUUUUUUAUGAUGACUCGAUUUUAGAGAAGUUCUCUGUGGAAAUUAGUGCGUCCAUCAUUGGUGUAAUUAGAAUGGAAAGAUCACUUGGGAGAUACGAUAUUAGGGAUGUUUUUUUGUUUAGUUUGUGUAUAAUUUUAUAUUCAUGAAUUUUGUUCUUUUGUUUCCAGGUUACCAAGUGACUAGAAGGAAGAGUGUGUUGAACAACAAUGUUGAAAGAAUGGAGUUAAGUUUGUGUUAGGAAGUUUUUAAUAAGUUAGAGCUAAAUAGAAUGUGUGAGAGAAUUGAAUUAAUUCUAAAGAGGAUUCGUUGAUUAGGAAUCAAAAUAAUAAAAUUAAAAUAGAAUAUAUAGA